UAUUUAUACCUGUCUUUUAAUAUAAUCCAAAAUAACUCACACUAAAAUACAACACUCCUCUUAUUUUCAACAUGAAAAAGAGAGAAUAUCGAGAGAUAAAGAAAAACCAUUCUGCCCAAGAGGCUCAAAAUUCAGAAAAACCAAAAACACUUUGUACAUGUGGUUAUUUCUUCUUUAUGUGGGUGUUUUUUUUCCCACACUGGCCAUGUCAUUUUCCGGCGGAAAUAGAACCCCCAAAAAAAAACUCGUGUAUUAUUCUUCUUCUCUUGUGUGUUUGCUCAUAAUUAUCUUGGCUUUGUUCCAUAGCGACAAUUUCUUGUUGGGGCAAUACGGAUAUUUCCUGAAAAUACAGUGGCAAAAGUAGAGAAAAAUUCCAACAACAACAAGAAUCAAACGGAGUAGUUUCAAAAAUAUUUCUCAGAUCUCAACAACAACAGUACGAGAAAUGAAAAAUGAAACUUUAUUACAAGACAACAAAAGAAAAGUACCAAGUUGUCCAGAUCCUCUUCAUAACAACUGCAGCAGCUGGUGUUACUGGAAAAAUGCUUGAUUCAGGCAGCUCACACAUCCCGAACAAUAAUUUCUGGAACUAUCAACAUAUCUUCAAAGCCUCUACAAUAAUAAAUCUAGAUCGUAGACAUAAAACUUUGUUAAAGCGGACAACCUUGCCAAAUUGGUAGCGGCCACUAAAAGCAUAACCAGAGCAGUGAACGUGGGUACUCCUCUUCACUCGCCGACUGAUUAAAGCGAGGUAACAAAUAAUUUCAUUUGGUUUAACUAAUUAUUUUUCUAAAUGGAAUAGAAGCAGGAAGCAUUCUCCCAUAUACUCGAACAGGAAAUACAUCGUAUAUUCCAAUACAAGCAAAAUUAAAAAAGCUGGGACUCCCCCAGAAAAUACAUCUUAUUCUCCAAUAUAAGCAAAAUUAAGUGAACUGGGACUCAGGCUAAGUGCCUUCGCCAUCAAAGUAAAAAAAGUUCGACCUCGCUCCAACCGAGUAAAAGGCUAAGUACCUUCGCCAUCAAAAUUUGAUAAGUUCGACCUCGUCCGAACUGGGACUCAAGCUAAGUGCCUUCGCCAUCAGAAUUCAAUAAGUUCGACCUCGUUCAAACUGGGACUAAAGCUAAGUACAUUCGUCAUCAAAGUAUAACAAAGUUCGACCUCGCUCAAACCGAGUUAAAGUCCAAGUGUCUUCGCCAUCAAAAUUUGAUAAGUUUGACCUCGCUCGAACUAAGUAAAAGGCUAAGUGCCUUCGCCAUCAAAAUUUGAUAAGUUCGACAUUGCUCGAACCGAGUUAAAGGCCAAGUGCCUUCGCCAUCAAAAUUUGAUAAGUUCGACCUCGCUCGAACUGGGAUUCAGGCUAAGUCCCUUCGCCAUCAAAAUUUGAUAAGUUCGACCUCGUUCGAACAGGGACUCAGGCUAAGUGCCUUCGCCAUCAAAGUAUAACAAAAUUCGACCUCCGCCAAAUCGAGUUAAAGGUCAAGUGCCUUCGCCAUCAAAAUUUGAUAAGUUCGACCUUGUUCGAAAUAACACCUUUAAGGAUAAGGACCUUCUCGAAAGAAAAAGAGUCUGACCUUACGGCCAAGGGACAUCGCCCGAAUCAACAUUCGGCUUCGCCCGAAUCAACAUUCGGCCUCGCCCGAAUCAACAUUCUGCUUCGCCCGAAACAACAUUCGGCCUCGACCGGAUCAACAUUCGGCCUCACCCGAAUCAACAUUCGGCCUCGCCCGAAUCAAUAUUCGGCGUCGCCCGAAACAACAUUCUGCCUCGCACGAAUCAACAUUCGGCCUCGCACGAAAUAACAUUCGGCCUCGCCCGAAUCAAUAUUCGGCCUUGCCCGAAACAACAUUCGGCCUCGCCCGAAUCAACAUCACUCGGCCUCGUCCGAAAUGACAUUUUGACCUCGUCUAAAUUGACCCCAACGGCCAAGGGCUAUCACAAAAAAGAAUUCGAAUUCGACCGAAAUAACAUUCGGCCUCGUCUGAAUCAAUCUUCAGCCUCGACCGAAUUACAACAUUCGGCCUCGUCCGAAUCAACUUUUAGUCUCGACCGAAUCAACAGUCGACCUCGUCCUAAUUCACAUUCGGCCUACUCGCCCGUCCAGAUCCAUGGAUGCGAAUGACCUCCACGAUGCCGCCAUCCCGGGCUUGAUGGCCUUCUCCAAAUCCACCGUCUUCUCAAUCGACUCAUCACUCCAGUCAUUGGCCCUAAUUAGCACCAUCCAAAUUUCUCAAACUACGAUUAAUGAAGUCCUCUCAUCGAGCUCGACUAAGAAAUGACCUUAAUAAGCGGAGGGACUAACUGUAUGGGUCAAAAUUAAAGCAGAGAAAUUCGGCAAGAGGUCAUGAUCCUGGUUGUGGUCGUGGACGUACACGCCAAGGUCGGACCAUCAUCAACGGUCGUGGACGUACAUGCCAAAGUCGGACCGUCAUCAACGGUCGUGGACGUACACGCCAAGGUCGGACCGUCAUCAACGGUCGUGGACGUACACGCUAAGACGGACCGUCAUCAACGGUCGUGGACAUACACGCCAAGGCGGACCGUCAUCAAUGGUCGUGGACGUACAUGCCAUGAAAUAUUUGGUUUUGCUUUAGAAAACUAAAAAGGAAUAUUCUACCGAAUACUCCCUGUAAAUUGUACCUUUUUUAGGAUUUUCUAUGGAUAUCCCCUUUUAUAAAUAGGAGGAGAGGACUUCCCAAAAGAAGAGGGCUCCCUCUUCCUCUCUCUCUCCCCCUCUCUAGAAAAUAUGUAAAUAUACCUCUCCAAAGAAAUGAGAGGAUAUGUGAUCCAAUACCAACAUCAGAUCCAAAAAGGGUCACGAAGUUCUUGUACACAUAUAUUAUUCAUCUUUAUGAAAAGAAAGAAGAUUCGUCUCACUGAAGACCGAGUGACUCUUUUCCUUUAUUCACAUUUUUGUUACUUAAUGCAUCUUUAUUUAUGCAAUUGAAUCAGAUCAUAAUCGCCAUUAACAUUUAUACUCGAUGUCUUUUAAUUUGUAUUAUUCAUCUCAGAUCUAGAGUUAAUUAUUCUUAACUAGGAUUUACCCCUUUCUUUCUCUGAGCCGAGGGUCGAUUGGAAACAGUCUCUCUGCCCUUUCGGGUAGGGGUAAGGCCCGUCUACAUAUUACCCUCCCAGACCCUACCUUGUGAGACUAUACUGUAUAAUUGUUGUUGUUGUUGUUGUAGGAUUUACCCUUGAUUUAUUUUGAUUGAUUUGCUCGAAAAGUAUUUGAUAACUUUUUAGUCAAACACAUAUGUCUCUGGAUCUAGAAUAUUCUUUCACAUUAUAAUUUAUAACUGUAAAAUAAAAUUGGUUUUUGUAUCUAAUUUUUGAUUAAUUUAGAAAAAGUGUUUGGGACUUCAGAAACAGACCUUCAUUAUUUGUGGUUGGGUAGGUUGGUGAGAAAAAUACACUCAAACGGUCAUGAUCCUCCACAAGAUUAGGUGAAUCAAAUAUUAUUAUUUUUUCUUUUAAAAAAAUAUUUAUAUUUCAACUUUUUGUCUGGAAACAACAAUUUGUAUAAUGUGGACAAGAAAGUUAAAUCACGGUAAUUUAUUAUGUUUAAAUCAGAAUAUCUUUUGCUCCUCUAUCUUCCCAAUUAUCUCCCGCUUUGCUGCUUGUUGAUUGAAGAGUUCAUCUUUUAUAAAUUGCUCGAGAGUUUUAGAUGGCUGCUUGGAUUAUGCUAUAAUUGUUUGACCAAAAAGUAUCAAACGUUUUGCCAAACCAAUUAAACAAGAAGAUAAAUGGCAAAAGAUUCUAGUUAAACAUAAUAAUUUCUAGAUCUGAAAAGUAUUUGUACGAAUAAUCUGGAAUUGAAUAACACUGAUUUAAUACAAUAUAUAUUAAAUGAUACUGUUAUGAAUGAUUGAUGAAUAAUGAUAAGCAAUAAAUAUGUUGAAUGGCAAUGAAUGUAAAUAGAAAGAAUUAUUCACCUAAUAUUGAAUGAGG
rnacentral:lncRNA from 1 species